AGAGUUUGAUUAUGGCUCAGGACGAACGCUGGCGGCGUGCUUAACACAUGCAAGUUGUACGAGGACGGGGGGCAACUCCCGAGCCGAGUGGCGAACGGGUGCGUAACACGUGACCAAUCUGCCCUUGGGAGAGGGACAACCUGGGGAAACCCGGGCUAAUACCGCAUGACGUGCGCCGUCGCAUGGCGCAGCACAAAGGGGGCCUCUGCUUGCAAGCUCCCGCCCAAGGAGGAGGUCGCGGCGUAUCAGCUUGUUGGUGGGGUAACGGCCCACCAAGGCUACGACGCGUAGCGUGUCUGAGAGGACGAUCCGUCACAUUGGGACUGAGAUACGGCCCAGACUCCUACGGGAGGCAGCAGUGGGGAAUAUUGCGCAAUGGUCGAAAGACUGACGCAGCGACGCCGCGUGUGGGAGGAAGCCCUUCGGGGUGUAAACCACUGUCAGGUGGGAAGAACUUCGCGAGUCCAAACAAGGCUCGCGGCUGACGGUACCACCAGAGGAAGCGCCGGCUAACUCCGUGCCAGCAGCCGCGGUAAGACGGGGGGCGCAAGCGUUGUUCGGAAUUACUGGGCGUAAAGCGCGGGCAGGCGGUUCGUUAAGUCUUUUGUGAAACUCCGGAGCUCAACUCCGACCAUGCAGAAGAUACUGGCGAACUAGAGACCUGGAGAGGCUAGUGGAAUUCCUGGUGUAGCGGUGAAAUGUGUAGAUAUCAGGAAGAACACUAGUGGCGAAGGCGGCUAGCUGGCUCGGGUCUGACGCUCAUCCGCGAAAGCGUGGGUAGCAAACAGGAUUAGAUACCCUGGUAGUCCACGCCGUAAACGAUGGGCACUAGGUGCGUGGCCUAUAGACGGGGUUGCGUGCCGGAGCUAACGCAUUAAGUGCCCCGCCUGGUGAGUACGGCCGCAAGGCUGAAACUCAAAGGAAUUGACGGGGGCCCGCACAAGCGGUGGAGCAUGUGGUUUAAUUCGAUAGCAACGCGAUAGAUACCUUACCUGGGCUUGACAUCUUGCGAAUACCUCCUGGAAACAGGAGCCUCCUCGGGACGUUGUGACAGGUGCUGCAUGGCUGUCGUCUAGCUCGUGUCGUGAGAUGUUGGGUUAAGUCCCGCAACGAGCGCAACUCCUUGCCCUAUGUUGCCAGCGGAUCAUUCCGGGACUCUAUGGGGUGACUGCCGGUGUCAACUCGGAGGAAGGUGGGGAUGACGUCAAGUCAUCAUGCCCCUUAUGCCCAGGGCUGCAAACAUGCUACAAUGUCCGGUACAACGGGCUGUGACAUCGCGAGAUGAAGCGAAUCCCUUAAAGCCGGUCUCAGUUCGGAUUGGAGUCUGCAACUCGACUCCAUGAAGCCGGAGUCGCUAGUAAUCCCGGAUCAGCAACUGCCGGGUGUGAAUACGUUCCCGGGCCUUGUACACACCGCCCGUCACACCACGAAAGUUGGCAACACCCGAAGUCAGUGGCCUAACCCGCAAGGGAGGGAGCUGCCGAAGGUGGGGUUAGCGAUUGGGGUGAAGUCGUAACAAGGUAACC
rnacentral:rRNA from 1 species